rfam:Oryza meridionalis cultivar OR44 (W2112) chromosome 3, whole genome shotgun sequence.
AAAAAGACAAACUCUGGCUUCUGUGUCCAACUUUUGACCGUCCGUCUUAUUUAAAAAAAUUAAAAAGAUAAGUCACGCAUAAAGUAUUAAUCAUGAUAUAUUAUCUAACAACAAUAAAAUACUAAUUAUAAAAAAUUUUAUAUAAGACGAACAGUCAAACGUUGGCACGGAAAGGGCACCUAGC